GAAGUGGGUAAAAGAUGGAGGCUUUAUCUUUCUGUGAUGUGAUUAUAGAGCUGAGACUCAAUCUCAAAUCGAUUAACAGAGAAGUGAGUUUUGGUGGCUUAUGUGCAUUUGACAUACAUGAGCUUUGAGUGCUGAUAACUGGAGGAAUCCCACCAAUUGGUAAAGCAUGCACAGCAGAUGAUACCUCUUCCACCAGGAGGCAUCCUCACUCCUAAGGGUUUUGAAACCAUUCAAAGCUGCUACAGAUCUCUUGGCCUCUAUUAUAUGAUUUUGCUACAUUGAAAAGUAACAAGGUGCCUGUUGCUGCGGCGGUGUACUAUGAAGAUAUAUGUAUGUAAACUUCAAGCUAGUGAUGGAAACAGCUUCUCAGAUAUAUGCAUUCGGGUCUUCGUGAUUUUGGAACACAAGUCCUUUCUCCUUUUGUUGACAAUGAUCAAUGGGAAAAGCCUCUCUUUUGAUUAUCUUUGUUUCAAUCUUUUUUGAGUAGUCACUGCUUUGUGAAUUGUGUUAAAGUCUUUGAAGACUGGGAUCAUCACUUUCCAGUUCAUGUCCAUGAAGAGCUUCUCAGCUAUAAGCAACCAAAAGAGAGAGAGAUAUUAAGUCAAUUAGAUCAUGUUUUUAGUAUGUAUCAAAAUCAGUUGUAGUCUAGCUGGUCAGGAUACUCGGCUCUCACCCGAGAGACCCGGGUUCGAGUCCCGGCAACGGAGUUCUUUUUAUUUUUACGUUGGAUUUUUAUCCCCAAAGUACAUACACAAUAAUCUUCUCAUU